UCUGAACUUGAACCGCCGGCG
rnacentral:siRNA from 1 species